UCCGGUUUAACACCGGCAGUCUCCUUAGAGUGCCCAACUGAAUGGUGGCAACUAAGGAUAAGGGUUGCGCUCGUUAAGGGACUUAACCCGACAUCUCACGAUACGAGCUGACGACAGCCAUGCAGCACCUGUCUCCCGGCCCCCGAAGGGGAAGUCGUAUCUCUACGAUUGUCCGAGGAUGUCAAACCCAGGUAAGGUUCUUCGCGUUGCAUCGAAUUAAACCACAUGCUCCACCGCUUGUGCGGGCCCCCGUCAAUUCCUUUGAGUUUUAACCUUGCGGCCGUACUUCCCAGGCGGGGUACUUAAUGCGUUAGCGUCGACACUGCAGGGGUCAAUUCCCGCAACAUCUAGUACCCAUCGUUUACGGCGUGGACUAC
rnacentral:misc_RNA from 1 species